AGCAAAGGGUGAGGACAGCCUUGGCUGUGGAUUGUAUUGUGAGGCUAUAACACAGACCUGCAACCUACGACCAUGUCGAACCUCCUGGACAUUAGGAGACCACCCAGAGCAACAACAACUGAUUGGAAAUGCUUGCCUACGCCUCUUGCAGGAGAUCCUGCAGAUGCAGGGGAAAUCUGUUCAUGUUGUUGACCUGCAUACACCCCCAACAUGGCUCCCCCCAUUCAUCCCAC